rnacentral:rRNA from 1 species
GACGAACGCUGGCGGCGUGCUUAACACAUGCAAGUCGAACGGAGUGGCGAACGGGUGGGUAACAAGUGGGUGACCUGCCCUGCACUUCGGGAUAAGCCUGGGAAACUGGGGCUAAUACCGGCGAGUGUGGGAUGGGCGCGGGGCUUAUCAGCUUGUUGGUGGGGUAAUGGCCUACCAAGGCGGCGACGGGUAGCCGGCCUGGGAGGGUGGACGGCCACAUGGGGACUGAGACACGGCCCAGACGCCUACGGGAGGCAGCGGUGGGGAAUCUUGCCCAAUAGGCGGAAGCCUGAUGCAGCGACGCCGGGUGGGGGAUGUCGGCCUUCGGGUUGUAAACUCCUUUCACCAUCGACGCGGUAGAUGGAGAAGAAGCACCGGCUAACUACGUGCCAGCCGCCGCGGUAAUUC